ensembl:piRNA 21ur-3579 ncRNA
UUAAAAAUAUCCAAUGUUUCG